rnacentral:rRNA from 1 species
CUACGGGAGGCAGCAGUGGGGAAUAUUGCACAAUGGGCGCAAGCCUGAUGCAGCCAUGCCGCGUGAAUGAUGAAGGCCUUAGGGUUGUAAAAUUCUUUCGCCAAGGAUGAUAAUGACAGUACUUGGUAAAGAAGCCCCGGCUAACUUCGUGCCAGCAGCCGCGGUAAUA